ensembl:lncRNA
GUCCUUGCAUGACUCCACCCCUUCCCCCAUUAUCCUCUAUGCACAACUUAAGGUAUAAAACUACUUUGGAAAAUAAAAUACGCCCCUUUUUGUUCACCGAAAUUUGGUCUCCCCAUGUCGUUCUUUCUUUCACUUUCUGGCUGAAUUUUUCCUCUGAGGCGGGGAAGCUCAUCAAGCCUACUAAUUUUGCCUGGGCUUCUAAGAUCUGAUCGGGGAGGCCUUAGUGUCUCCUCUCCUUUGGGAGAAUGGGAGGACGCCUGCGGCCUUUUGGUCAUGUAUGGACAUGAGAGUUGGACUGUGAAGAAAGCUGAGUGCCAAAGAAUUGAUGCUUUUGAACUGUAGUGUUGGAGAAGACUCUUGCGAGUCCUUGGACUGCAAGGAGAUCCAGCCAGUCCAUCAUAAAGGAGACCAGUCCUGGGUGAUCAUUGGAAGGACUGAUGCUGAAGCUGAAUCUCCAGUACUCUGGCCACUUCAUGUGAAGAGGUUAUGUGAAUUACAGUGAGCCUUCUUACUACAGAACUCACUCUUCACU